rnacentral:rRNA from 1 species
GAUGAACGCUGACAGAAUGCUUAACACAUGCAAGUCAACUGUGGCGGACGGGUGAGUAACGCGUAAAGAACUUGCCUCACAGCUAGGGACAACAUUUGGAAACGCAUUCUAAUACCUGAUACUGUGAGAGAGCUUUGCGUCCCAUUAGCUAGUGGGAGAGGUAACGGCUCACCAAGGCGAUGAUGGGUAGCCGGCCUGACAGGGUGAUCGGCCACAAGGGGACUGGGACACGGCCCUUACUCCUACGGGAGGCAGCAGUGGGGAAUAUUGGACAAUGGACCAAAGUCUGAUCCAGCAAUUCUGUGUGCACGACGAAGUUUUCGGAAUGGAAAGUGCUUUCAGUUGGGAAGCGGGACCAGCAGAAGAAGUGACGGCUAAAUACGUGCCAGCAGCCGCGGUAAUUC